rnacentral:rRNA from 1 species
UACGAGGGGGGCAAGCGUUGUUCGGAAUUAUUGGGCGUAAAGGGCGCGCAGGCGGCUCUGCAAGUCAGAUGUGAAAGCCCCGGGCUUAACCUGGGAAUUGCAUUUGAUACUCUGGAGCUUGAGUACGGGAGAGGAGAGUGGAAUUCCCAGUGUAGAGGUGAAAUUCGUAGAUAUUGGGAAGAACACCGGUGGCGAAGGCGGCUCUCUGGACCGUAACUGACGCUGAGGCGCGAAAGCGUGGGGAGCAAACAGG